UACGGAGGGGGGCUAGCGUUGUUCGGAAUUACUGGGCGUAAAGCGCACGUAGGCGGCUUUGUAAGUUAGAGGUGAAAGCCCGGGGCUCAACUCCGGAAUUGCCUUUAAGACUGCAUCGCUAGAAUUGUGGAGAGGUAAGUGGAAUUCCGAGUGUAGAGGUGAAAAUUCGUAGAUAUUCGGAAGAACACCAGUGGCGAAGGCGACUUACUGGACACAUAUUGACGCUGAGGUGCGAAAGCGUGGGGAGCAAACAGG
rnacentral:rRNA from 1 species